UGGAGACAGGGGCAUGGAUGCACCACCCAGAAGGGGAAGAAGGCUUGGGAAUUCUCAGGAAUGGCGGACAUCCGUGAGGGGGCGUACAUGUCCAGUCUCAUUCUUGCAGGAGUGCACAGGACCCCUUCUGAGGGACCCCGCAGCCGCCACCAUCUAACCCUCUGAGCUGUCUGGGAGGCGAGAAAAGAAGCACUGCGCAGGCCGGAGUUCGCAGGGCUGCAGCCCGGUGCUGCCUGGGCAAGAACAGUGGGGGUGUGGGGCUCGUGCCGUUCGCUCCAAGGGUGCUGUGUAUCUCUGGAAGUUAUUCCUGACGUGGAAGGCCUCUUCUCUGUCCUGGAAGCCCAGGCUGUUCAAUCAAGUGAGUGUCUUUGCAGAGAAGCACCUGAACGUGGAGGAGAAAGGACACUGAGCCCAGCCAUGCUUCCAGCUGAUCCAUGACUACACGGUUCCAGGUGGCUCCUAAGGAGGGGUUCAAGGACUCCAGCCCCCACCAUUUAGGGGGCAAGUGGCUGCUUUUCUUCCUAAGACAGGUCAUAUGCAUCUUCUCCUGCAACUUCCAGCCCCAUUUCUUCAGCUACGACCUGACUCAGCACCACCCACAGCCCCUCAGUGCUCAGUUGAUUAGAAAUGACAAGGGUCUGCGUGGCCAGCCCAUGAGGGCUCGUCCUGAUUGCUGUCUCCAGGUUGGGCCACACUGGAAGCUACUGCUGCUGUCACAUCUGAUGCUCCAAAUAGGACAACAGGAACGGGGAUUUCCAUCUGUGAAAUAUACUGAACAGCAACCAGAAAACACACCAAACUUUCCCCAGGUUGGAAACUAGAAAAAAGAUCAUCGUGAAUUUUAAAGAACUUUUUGGCAAAAUGAAAAUACAUGCUUGUGUGAGUUUGGGUUGGAGAGAGGGCAAAGCGACCCACCGCUUGGUCGGACACCAAAGACUCUGGUUUCACUGGGCUGGGAGGGCACAGCCAGUCCCCAGUGCCCUUCCCCCAGGGUCUCAUGAGGACACUAUCGAGUCUGUGUCAUAGCACAUCAGCACUCAAAUGGCACCUCUUUUUCUGGUGCGCUGUCCCUUUUCCCUCCGGGGGCUUACCUUAAAGGAACCUUACCUCUGGGUCUCAGGCCCGCCCACUCAGCACCUGGCCAGCAUGGUUCCCACUGUGGCCAGCUCAGGUGCUCAGUGCCUGGCCCAUCUGCAUUGGUUUUAAAAGGCCACCAAGAAGCUUUCUUCUGCCAAGUGACCCACACCAGCCCUCUUCCUGCGUCCCCACCUGGACAGGCCCUGGGGCAGCUGGAGCACGUCCAGGCUGUAGGGCAGGGGCUGGGGCUAACCUGGAGAAAGCCACAGGGGCUCAGCGGACCCCAGAGAGAGGUGACCCACCAAGCUGGUGAUGUGAAGGGGCCCAGGGAGGGCUGGAAUCCAGGAAUCAGGGAGUAAGACAGAGGAGCCCCAGACUUAAAGACAGUUGAGGGGCUGGUGGUAGAGAAAGGGAGAAUGGAGAAGUGAGCAGGGACGGUUCCUGGGCAGUUCGGUUUCUUUCUUGGGGGACACUGCAUUUAUCUGAGGGGCAAUGCAACAUGCCGAUGGGAAGCCCAGUGCUGGAGCCUCUGCCUGCGUCUGUUUUCUGGCUGUACUGGCACACGAGCUCGUCACUCCAAACCUCGGCCUCUGAGACUGUUUUCUUAUCUGUACAGCAGGCACAAUCCGAACCGUGUUCGCCUCUUGUGCGGUUGUGAGGAGUAAAUAUUGCUACAUUUGAAACGUGGCCCACGCCCCCUUCCCCCACUGCCCUUGGCUUUUGUGGAUCUGCGGAUGUCCCUAAGAGCGUGAUCGCUGGGAUAGGAACAAAGGCCACGUAGGAAGUGAGUGCUAUUUUCCGAGGGCCUGCCCAGCGAUGGGCUCCUCACGGCUUUGCUCCACCCCACCGUGAAGCUGCUUCCAGAGCCGCAGGGCCCCUGUGGGGUCAGUGCGCAGCUGUGUUCUGACCUCAGGAAGCCACCACUGGCUUUGGAAGUUCCAGGUGCUCCUGGACCAUACGUGGCUGAGAAAUCACAUGACGAAGGCAGGAAGGGAGCAGACCUCAGCUGAGCUACCGCCACUGGGCCCAGCAGAGUGCCCAGCAUGCACCUGGGCCCGAAGCUUCACUCCACAGACAGCCCACAAGUCUGUCUUUUUAUAUGAAAAGACCCGCAAUAAUUCACGUGUAAGGAGAGAGAGAGGGAGAGAGAGAGAGCUCUCUUUUUUUCUUUCCACACAGGGUCGCAUUUGUAUGCUGCUGUUCUGGGUUGCGGGAGUGAUUCAAAGGCCCAAGCGUGCAAAACCAGUCGGAACUGUUUUAAAGGGACAGCCAGGGAGCCGUUUCCCUUCCAAACACGUUUGAUUCCAUGGCUGGAUUUUUUUAAAUGUUUUUGUUUAUUUUCACUAAUUAUCUAACUUUGAUUUUAAUCCUUUGCCACUGGAGAAAUAUUCCUAAACAGAUUAAAAGAACAG